UCGCUCCCCGUCGCCUCUCCGACGCCGAUGCUAAUCUGAUUUCAGAGAACACACCAUAAGAGAAGGAACUCCCCUGACGAACGCCGUCAAACCCUAGAACUCUAAUCGGCGAUGAGGUCCCCGGAAGACGCGCCGGAGGAAAGCCCCCACAACCCGCCGGCGGCCGCCAUGCCGCAGCGUUCGGCCGGCAGGAGGAAGGGCACGCCGAACCGGCCGUGGCUGGUGGUAUCGGACUCCGGGAAGGAGCGCUUCGAGGAGGUGGGGAAGCACUCGAUCAUGCGGCGAACGGGUAUUCCGGCGCGGGAUCUGAGGCUCUUGGGCCCUCUGCUGUCCUACCCGUCGACGAUUCUGGGGAGGGAGAGGGCUAUCGUGCUCAAUCUGGAGCACGUCAAGGCCAUCAUCACGGCCACCGAGGUGUUCAUCCCCAACUCCAACGACCCCACGGUCGCCCCUUUUGUCCACGAUCUCCACUCCCGGCUCUCCAGUCCUUCCGGCGCUGCUCCUCAUCAGGUUGCAGAGUCCAGGAACAAGGGUGUUGUUACCCUUUGAGUUCAGAGUGCUUGAAAUCUGCCUUGAAUCCAGUUACAGGCACCUUGAAGCUGAGAAGAAUGAAAAAAGUAUCUGUUAAAUUGGGGAUCGAUCCUCAAGCUUGGUUUAUAAGUCUAGCAGGAAGCACUUAUAUAUGGAUGGUAAUUGAUGGUAAUUGAUUCCUCUCGUACCUGGUAUUUGAUUUUUAGUAGCAUCAGGCAUGCACAAACUAGCAUGAU